rnacentral:rRNA from 1 species
AUUGAACGCUGGCGGCAGGCCUAACACAUGCAAGUCGAGCGGAUGACGGGAGCUUGCUCCUUGAUUCAGCGGCGGACGGGUGAGUAAUACCUAGGAAUCUGCCUGAUAGUGGGGGACAACGUUUCGAAAGGAACGCUAAUACCGCAUACGUCCUACGGGAGAAAGCAGGGGACCUUCGGGCCUUGCGCUAUCAGAUGAGCCUAGGUCGGAUUAGCUAGUUGGUGAGGUAAUGGCUCACCAAGGCGACGAUCCGUAACUGGUCUGAGAGGAUGAUCAGUCACACUGGAACUGAGACACGGUCCAGACUCCUACGGGAGGCAGCAGUGGGGAAUAUUGGACAAUGGGCGAAAGCCUGAUCCAGCCAUGCCGCGUGUGUGAAGAAGGUCUUCGGAUUGUAAAGCACUUUAAGUUGGGAGGAAGGGCAGUAAGCUAAUACCUUGCUGUUUUGACGUUACCGACAGAAUAAGCACCGGCUAACUCUGUGCCAGCCGCCGCCGUAACAC